rnacentral:rRNA from 1 species
AACGAACGCUGGCGGCAGGCCUAACACAUGCAAGUCGAGCGCGCCCUUCGGGGUGAGCGGCGGACGGGUGAGUAACGCGUGGGAACGUGCCCUUUUCUACGGAAUAGCCUCGGGAAACUGAGAGUAAUACCGUAUACGCCCUUUGGGGGAAAGAUUUAUCGGAAAAGGAUCGGCCCGCGUUGGAUUAGGUAGUUGGUGGGGUAAUGGCCUACCAAGCCGACGAUCCAUAGCUGGUUUGAGAGGAUGAUCAGCCACACUGGGACUGAGACACGGCCCAGACUCCUACGGGAGGCAGCAGUGGGGAAUCUUAGACAAUGGGGGCAAUGCUGAUCGAGCCAUGCCGCGUGAGUGAUGAAGGCCUUAGGGUUGUAAAGCUCUUUCAGCUGGGAAGAUAAUGACGGUACCAGCAGAAGAAGCCCCGGCUAACUCCGUG